UAUUUUCUCCAGAAGAGGAAGGAAUAGAAUCAGUGGGAUUUUUCCUCCCGUUAAUUCGAGAGCUCGACUCUAUUUUGCGGGAAACGAUACUCGUUUACUGUCUCGAACGAUUGCAUACCGGAUAAGGAGAACGUGACUUCCGAGUUGUUUCCAAGAUUUUAGAAUUUGCAUCAUGGUGGAAAGAGAGUAUAGUUUAAUUCGUUUACGAGCGGAAUUGUUCCAUACUUUCGAGUUGGAUUGAGUGGAGAAUGAGAUGAAAUUUGAGGCGAUAAAUAUCCGAGGCGGAGAACAUUUCAACUAAGAUCCAUUUGUAACUUUGAGAAAAUGGAGAAGAUGAUGAAAGCUUUUCGAUUACUGCGGAAAAUCAAAAUUUAAGAAAAAUACCGAAGAAUAUUGCCAAAUUUCCUACGAAAACUUGGAAAAAUUUGGCAAACUUUCAAAAAUUCAUAAAAACUUCGGAACCUCGAAAUAUUAAAAAAGGGAGGAGAUAAACUUUCGAUAAAGUUAGAUAAAGAAAGGAAUCCCAAGAUGAUAACUCCUUCUUGAAUAAGAACACACACACACAGAUUCGCAAAAAAAUCUACGUUUUACGAAGAAUUGGAUAAAAUUUGAGACAAGAAUUCUUCAUUGUUAAAACGACAGGAAUGUAAAUAAACGAGCAACUAACGCGAAACAAUAUCAAUUUGACUCUGUUCAUCAGAUUAAGCGCGUAUUAAUUAAAAAGUUUUAUAAACAAAAAGAGAGAAACCGGCGAUCUUUGACUUGGCGAUUAAUCGUGCAAUCUCCUCAUUCAGGAAAAUAUUGUUUAACGAGCGUCAAUCAACGUAGAAUUAUAUUACAUGCAAUGAAUCACUAUACACGUAAUUGAAAUGCAUGGUUGAAUGAUCGAUGAAGUCUUUAUUACAGGUAUGAUCCGAUAUUGAGAUUUUUAUUGAAUCGUUACAUCAUUUUGAUUUGUUUAACUAACUAAAAUGGAAAUUAUACAGGAAAUUUUGCAUUUUAUCAAGGAAAUUUAUAAUAAUAAAGUAAUAUCUCUUCUAACAUCUCUUCUAACAUUAUUACUUUCGUGACGUCUUCAUUAAAAAAUUAAACUUCCUUUUGAAAAAUUAUUUCCUUUUGAAAUUAUUAUUAAAUAAUUAUUAUUCUCGUUUAUAAACCCAGGCUAACUUUAUACAGAAGAAUGGGCAUUCUAUUCCAAAAAAGGAAAUAUUAUAUUAAUUAAAAUUUCAUGAUAAAAUUUAAUUAAAUCUCUAAGCUCAUCGAUCGAUAACUUCGACACGUGUCCAAAUAUCCCAAUCAGAUGAAACAUACGACUUCGAACGUCAAUAUUAACAUAUAUUAUCCAUCAAAGAGUAAAAUCUCUUUGAAAGGAGGCACACUUUCAAAAGAACCGACUACAACACAGCGUGAAGAGAAAAAUCGAUUCACAAAUGGCCUCAAAAGUCAAACCAAUAUCUCAAUCAUCGCCCGUACGUCUCGUCUCAACCCUCUAUCCUCCCACUCCACCCCCAAAGAUUCCAACGAUUUUCUAAAUUUUACCUUGUCGACAAUCCCAAGUGCAAGCGCCAGUCGAUAGUUAAUCACGAUCCUCGAACAAAUCCUAACCGCUAGAAACCGCGACUGGGGACCGCAGAGAAUCAAUCUACCAAUGCUCCACGGAUCGUUCGUGACCCCCUCCUCCCUUUCCUAUUAUAAAUCGAACUCUGAACUGAAAGGGAGCACGUAGGAUCAACGUACAAUACACACGAGCUGAUCUUCUUCAUCCUUUUCUCUCCUUUUCUCUCUGUUUUCCUCCCUUUUGACUCGUGUGUGGCCUUCCAACGCGGCAGCAACCUCGACAUUUCCCCAGAUCGUGGAGGGUUAAGCCAAGCCUUAAACGGAGAAGCGAAAUAGCGAACGAGAAGAAAGAGAAGGAGAAAGAGAGACAGUGUAGGGAUAGGCGGUAAUCCCCCGCAGAGUCUCCAUUGUACGAGGAUCUCUUUUAACCCCCUCUCGGUCUUUUCCAAGCUGCAUGUAAAUACAGGCUGACCACACAACCUGAAAGAUGCUUGUGGAGGAGGGUAGGGGGUUGAAAGAAAACACCGGACACGGCGGGACGAUUGAAUUAGAAUGGAAUACGAAUUGAAGGGCGAUCGUUCACCUGUUGAUGCGUGAAUACGAUGGGCCGUUGUCCUGGCACACGAAGACCUCCAGGGAGAAGGAUAACGAUUAUUGUCGGAGAAGUGGCUUCCGGUAUCCUUCGAUGGACACCGUCGUCUUUUUCUUCGUUGAUUGUCGUUGGACAAUUCAGGUUUUUUAUAAAUAUAUUCUUCUAUAAAUGAUUUCUUUUCAGAUAGAAUUCAAAAACGGAUAUUAACUCGUGCUCUCUCGAUUUUCCAAAUAUUUAAAAGAUCCAUUGUCCGUUAACCCACUAAAGGAUUUCCAAUUUUCGAGGGAUUCCAUCAAUUUUUCGUGGAAACGAUCGUUGCGGAGGGAAAAAAGAGAGAAACGCAACCCCGCGGUUUCGAAGGGGGUAAGAUUAAAGGCGAGGGCGGGACGAGAAGAAGGCAGAGUUCGAUCAGAUAUAUUCCGUUGGGUUUCGAAAAGCGGGCCACGUAAUGAAUUCGUGCGCCCUUCGUCGAUGGCCUGGUUUCAUUGCGAGCUACGCCAUGCUAAAUGAAGGUACGACCUUCCGCGCGAGGGUCGCGCGAGGUCGCCGAAGAUUAGUCGCCGCUCCUUCGUGAACCUGAAAUUUCCCCGGCUCAGGAAAUUCAUCGAGAGGAUCCGUGAAUUAACACAUUCACAUAUGGUCGUUCAACCCUCUCUCAAUAAUGGAUAGAUACUUUUAAAAUCGCACAGAAAAAACGGCAUUGAGACGAAGGAAGGAAGCCAUCGCGCGAGCUGUUAACCCUUUCAUCGUUGCGAAACCGUACAUAGGUUUAAAACGGUUUCUGCAGUUUAAUUUAUCACCUGGACCAUUUAUCUUCCCGCAAAAAUUAAACUGAUCUUCUUACUACCGCCAUUUCCCCUAAUCAAUCCCAAAAAAACGUUGACACAUACGUCCUCGAGAUACAAUUAGCCCGGCUAAUUUCAUCCCCCGACUUUUCUUAUCGACCAUUUGUGAAUAGGGGUGGCUCGUUCAAACCACGUGUACACUCUUCUUGCCUCGUAAGUGGACGACGUAAUAACAAAUUGAAGGACAAAUCUGGGCAAAGAUACGCUUGUUCCACCGAUAAUUGAUCGAGUUGAGGAAUCAUCUUUAUUCGCGAAAAUAAAAGAGUGUUUAAAUACAAAAAGGGAGAGAAUCGACGAGUCUGAUAAUUUCCAUUCACCAAUACCGGACAUCUGAGAUACCUUUACAACUUAAAAAGAAAUUGGAACGAAGUAAUAAGAAAGCACGAGGAAGAAGAAGGAGAAGAAGAAGAAUCAUCUCUCUCUCUCUUUCUCUUAAUUGUUCGAACGAGCAGUUGAGCUCGUUAAAUCGGCGUUCCAGUUUGUCGGCCGGGGAGGGGGAGGUUGAGAAAGAAGGGAGGGGUUUUGGAAGGAGACAUUUUUCUCCGAGCACCGUUAAAUAAUUGUCUUCCUGAAACGAUUGGAAGAUAGCGAUGCAACGUGGUUAAAUCGAAAAGUCGAUUCCAACCCCCUCCCCGUCUCACCACCACCCCUCCCCAGAUACCGCUAACGGGAUCUGACAAGGCGAACGCCGGUACUCGCGCAUCUAUAGAGGGGCCGUAUCGAUUCUCGAGGCGGCAGGAACUCGCUGACAAGGUUACAAGGUUGCGCUAAUUGAGGGUUUUAAUUUCCUGUCCGCCCACCAGAACCCCCUCGCCCCCCUCCCCUCCUCCCCCGAUUUAUUCGGCCGGCCGCGAUACACGCGAUCCUUUUGUGUGCCGCCGCCGCUGGUUUUGUUAACCGAGUUAUUCGAUCGCACACUUUGGGAAGGAAAGGGUCUUUCUAGAAGAUAGAAUUGAUAACGCGGGGUAAAAGAAUCAGAGUCUGUGAUAUAUAAUAAUAAUCGAGAUUUUUUAAAAAUUUUUUUUCAAUUUUUAGGCUUCGUCAAUUUUCUAAUUUGGUGGCUAUGAUCGAAGUUCUUUGAGGCAUGGUUAAUCCCUGUGGAUGGAAUCCCGUUCGCGCGAUAAAGAUUUUUAAGUGGUUCGAUUUUAAAAAAA
rnacentral:lncRNA from 11 species